GGUCGAAAUAACAUUAUCAAAUGGGGUCAGCUGAAAAUGGCGGAAAAGCUUUCUUUCUUAUUAUUUUUGAAAAAUAGUUUCGUUAGAUGUUGAUGCAAAACUUUGAUUUCAAGCCAGAAGUUGAAAACAUUUGAUAGUUUUGUCCUUCUGGAUAAGUGAAUUCUUCAAGCAGUAACAAUGUUUUUUGUCAUUCUUAUUUUGUACUUCGUUUCACUAGCUAUUGGUCAGUUAGGUCAUGAACAUUGCUUGAUUGAAAACUCUUCAGGAUGUGAGCUUGGGAGACCUCCCAUAUAUAUGAUAACAGCACCAAGAAGAAUUCGUGCUGGACAAGUGUUUCAAGUUUUUGCUACAAUUUUAAGAAUGGAGUAUCAUGAAAAUGCAAUAAGUGUGCGGGUAUCCAUCGUUGAAAGUGAUAAAGAAUAUACAAGCAGUAUUUUAAAAUUUGAACGACCAUCUAGCAGGCUUAUGCAACUACAGAUGCCGUCCAAUGCUGAAGCUGGGAAUUAUAAACUUCGAGUUGAAGGUCGUCUAGAUGAACUUGUUAGUGGCAACAUCUUUUUCAAUGAAACUGAGAUUGAAUUUACACCGAAACACGCAUCAAUUUUCAUACAGAUGAGCAAACCAAUUUACAGACAGGAACAACUAGUUCAUUUUCGUAUAAUACCACUUCAGCCGGAUUUGAUGCCUAAAUAUGGAAAUUUAAUUAUUUAUAUUGAGGACCCAUCUGGAGUGCCUGUCAAAAGAUGGCCAGGUUUACAGACUAACGCUGGAGGAAUCAUUAGUCAGAGCUUUCAACUUUCUGAUCAACCAAACUAUGGCACAUGGCAUAUACUAGUUGAUGCUUUUGGUUUCAAGUACAGAAGACCUUUUAUUGUUGAAGAAUUUUGGGAACCAAGAUUCGACGUGAAUGUGUCAGUGCCAGCUUAUGUAAUGGAUGUAUCAAGUUUAUCUAUUCAAGGAGUUGUGUUAAUAAACCAUACAAGUGGAAGAUCUUGUGUUGGAAAUGGGUCUAUAACAUCUUUUUUUAUUCCAUCUGAAGAAAUUUGGAAUGCAACAAAGGGAUGGGAGAAACCCUAUCAUGACGCUAUGAGCAGACGUCUCUCUGGAACUCCUCUAGAUGUACCCAAAUACAGGAGCAUUGACAGUAUUCCUGUGUCAGACUACUCUGUUUACUUUGCUUAUGAAUACAGAUUUAUUGAUUAUUAUAAAGGUCGCAUAAACUUUGAAUGGCAUCGUGAUGAUUUGUUAGGACUGGCGAAAAGAGGAGGAGCUACAAGCGAUGAACUUUUUGGAAAUGAGUUUGUGUUUGUAGCCAAUAUGACUGACUGGUAUUCAGGUUUGAAUCGCACUGGCUGGGCAGGAACGAUUGUAUAUGAUGAUGAACUGAAUCUUAAAUGGAUAGGAGGAAACGUCAGAACAUUCAAGCCAGGCUCUUUAUUCAGAGUUCAGGUUGCUGUUUCAUACUAUGAUGGUAGACCAGUGAGUGGUGGCUCGGUUACUCUAGUACCAACUGUAGGUAGCCAGUCGGUUAAAACUGCCAUGUCGGAAUAUUCUCCUCAAACGAAUCCUGUUGUCAAUGGAAUUGCUCACUUUCAAAUACCAUUAAAUGUAUACGUGACCAGACUGGCAUUAACAGCCUCAUAUCAUGAUCCUGGCGAGACUUUAGCCAUGAAAACUUCAGUGAACCCAAAUUUUGUCACCAGCCAGUCAAGAAGUAUUCAGAUGCUGUGCACUAAAUAUUAUUCCCCUACAAACUCAUAUCUAUCUAUUUACACUUCUACUUUUGAGCCUCAGAUUAAUGAAUAUAUGAUCUUUCAUGUCACAUUGAGUCAUUUUGUUCCCAGAAUUUAUUAUCAGGUUGUGGCUCAGAGCAAUAUUAUUAUCGCAGAUGAACUGGAGAUGUCAACCAAGCAGAAGACUUUUUCUGUUGCACUUUCAAGAGAGAUGGUUCCCACAGCCAGAGUUAUAGUUUAUUAUAUCAAAGAGCCUGAGGAGAUAGUAUCUGAUGUUCUCAGUUUUUUUGUAAAUGGCACUAGACAGAAUCAAGUGUCACUCUACAUUAACCGUGGUAAAGAUUUCAGCAGAAAUACAGUAGAAUUUAAUGCAUAUGCUGAUCCUGGUUCUUAUGUGGCAUUUAGUGCUAUGUUACUGGAUCUUUACUCUAGAGGAAUGAAUGAUGGCAUCACAGAGAAUAAGCUGAUAGAUGAACUGUUAAGUUAUGACCAGCCUGCCAACAGUAGUUUCAAACACCUAUGGAGAGUCAGUGACACAGAAUAUCAAUACACUUUUUUUCAUGGUUCAGAUUAUGGCAUUGAUGGAAACACAACAUUUAAGAGUGCUGGAAUCAUCAUUAUCACUGAUGCAGAUGUCACAAGAUUACCGAACCAAGAAUCGUGCAAUCCAUUAGAUGGAAAGUUUCCUUGUUUCUCGGGUGUGGAGACAGAAUGUUUUACUAGUGAGCAACGCUGCAAUGGACUGUUCGAUGGAUGUCCAAACGAUGGUGCAGAUGAAUGGGGAUGUAUAUUUAAAGAUAUGGAAAUUGAUUUAAAGUCUCCACUACAGAGGAUUAGUAGAGUCAUGCGAUACUAUGACAACAGUUCUUGGGCAUGGCAGGAAAUUUUCAUCAAGCCAGAUGGGAGAACAGAUUUUCGCGUGGAUGUUCCCAAAUAUCCAUUGUCUUGGGUAAUUAAUGGUAUCUCUAUAAGUCAAGAAUUAGGAUUUGGAAUUAUGCAGCAACCAUUAAAAUUUGAUGCUUCAAGAUUCAUGUAUAUGCAAGUAGAAUAUCCCAAGUAUAUAGUGUGGGGAGAACAGAUUGGUGUUCGAGUCACUGUCUUUAAUAACUGGUAUGAUGAUGACUAUAUGGAGAUACUAGUGACCAUGCAUGAAGGACAAGAUAUUGAGUUUGUUAGUGUUGGAGAAAUGGGCUAUGUCACCUCAUAUAGUCCUACUACACAUAAGGGAGAUCAUCAAACUAUUGUUUUUCUGGAGCCAGGUGAUUCUCAAGAUAUUUACUUGCCUAUUGUGCCAGCUAAGUCUUUCAGGAAAGAUAAAUUAACUUUUAGAGUAACUGCUGUGUCUUUUAUGGGGAAGGACGAACAUAUUGGAGAGAUGAUUGUGAAGCCAAAUGGAGUACUGAACUAUUAUCAUACACCCUAUCUGAUUGACCUGAUUCGAUACCCAUCGAUUGAUUUGCCCCAGUUCAAAGUCAAUGUUCCAGAAUUAUUUCGUAAGCAGGAAUACCGACCUAAUCUUUAUGUUCCACAGUCACCUAAAGCUACAAUAAACAUUUUUGGGGAUGUUGUUACACCUGGUUUCUUUGAAAGUUAUUUAAAUGCUGAGAAUCUAUUAUAUCGUCCAUAUGGUGGUGGAGAAAUGGUGACAUUCAAUUUCGCUUAUAACGUGCUAGCAUUGGUGUUUAUGAGAAAUUCCAACCAGUUGGAUGCUUACCAGACCAAAACAGUUUUGAAUGAAUUAAAUAUUGCUCUGCAAAGAAUAUAUAGCUACAUGAAUGAGGAUGGAUCAUUCAAAAUGUUUCGUGAUGAUGAUAACUCUAAUCUCUGGCUAACUGCGUUUGUUGGAAAAACCUUGGCUGUUGCAGGUGAAGAAGAUUAUUGGGAAUUAGAACUAUAUAUUGCCAAAGAAUGGGCAGCUAAAAUAGUAAAUUUUAUUUGCAGUAGACAAAAUACAACAACAGGAGCUUUUGAGCCAUUGGAGAAUGAAAUAGCUUUUGACCGAAAAAUGGCAUCUUUGAGAAAAAUGAAAUCUGAUGUAAUGAUAACACAAACAGUACCUUUAACAGCUUAUAUUCUUAUUGCGUUGGAGAAAAUGUCUAAAUUUGUUGAGGGGACAACUUGUUUAAAUACUGCCAAAAGAAAUGCAGUCAAAUAUUUACAAAGUCAAGUCAACUCAUUAAGCAAGGACGAAAUCUUCUACAUGGCCAUAACAGCAUAUGCUUUGUCUUUGACGUCUAAUGCUUUUGACAUAGUUAAUGAGCUGUGGAAACUAAAGAGAAAUGAUUCUGACUUUACUUACUUUGCGGACCAACUCGUCUAUGAAAAUCCAUCCGCUAUACAAAACAACGUAAGGUAUUUGAUGCCUCGCCAGGAACUUCUCAAUGAUGCUUAUGCUGUUCAAACUACAGCCUAUGCCCUUCUGGCUCACAUUACAGCAAACAAGGCGGAUAAGUUAGAGCGUGACAUGACUAUGACUUGGUUGAACACGAUGAGAAACUCUUUUGGAGGGUUUUCCUCUACUCAGGAUACAAUAGUGGCAAUAGAAGCACUAAUGGAAUAUACUAGACAAGAUCAAAAGCGUAAUGAAUCAGAUAUGUCAAUAGACCUUCAAUCAAUGGCAUCCCCUGGCUGGAAGAAUAGUGCAUACAUUGUCAGAAAUAAUUUCACUCAACUUUAUCAAAUUCCUUUGCCAUUGAAUGAAGUAUUUGGCUAUGUAAUACCGUCAGCUAAAGGUGUUGGCAGAGCGUUGCUUCAGCUUACUGUCACAUCGAAUGUCGAGUAUGAAGAACUUAUGAAAACCCAACAACACUACAACAAUAAUCCACAAGAAGACUUAAUUCCCUUUUUUGAUUUGCAAGUGGAAGCACGUUGGGGUGGUCGCAACGAUUCCAUAAUGUUCAUGAGAUCUUGUAUCAGCUGGCUGUAUACUGAACGUAGCUUGACCUCUGGCCUUGCUGUACUGGAAGUUGACAUGCCCACUGGCUAUAUUGUCAUGAAUGACACACUGAGAUCCUAUGUGCAGUCUCGGGUUGUGCCUAAUUUAAAACGAGCUGAAUUUUAUGCUAGAAAAACUGUUUUUUAUUUUGAAUAUCUGGAUACAAGUAAGACCUGUGUAGAUUUCAGAGCUGAUAGAUGGUUCCCAGUUGCUAACAGUACUAAGGAGCACAGGAUACGCGUUUAUGAUUACUAUGAACCUGGAAUGCACAGAACAAGACUUUAUACAGUGCAAAAUCUAUUUCUUAUGAACAUCUGUUUUGUUUGUGGAUCAUAUCAGUGUCCCUAUUGUCCAUAUUUUAAUAGAUCAGUUUUAAUUAUAGGUAGUAACUGGUCUUUAUUUGUAGUAGUGAUGUAUAUAAUACACUUAUGUUUUCAAUAAUAUAUAAUGACCUGCAAGAUCAAACCUUAAUUAUCAAUAAUCAUAACGUUUUUGUGUGUUCGGUAAUAUAUAUAUAUAUACAGGCCUUUUUUUGCGACAGUACGCACCGGUACGGCGUACCGGCACCUUUUUGAAUGUGGGGGAAAAAUUAUACAUUUUCUUGUAUUUUAACGUAUAUUAUUAUUUUUUACAAAAAAAGCACUGAUAUAUAUAUAUAUAUAUAUAUAUAUAUAUAUAUAUAUAUAUAUAUAUAUAUAUAUAUAUAUAUAUAUAUAUAUAUAUAUAUAAUACAGGACACACAAAAUAUACAUAAAUAGAGACAGAGAAAGAUACGUGUUUAUGUUGUAGACUUUGGUUAUGUACAGAUAUACAAAUGGCUUAAUUACUACAUUUUAUGUGAUUUUGAUAAUUAACGUAGUAAAGUAUAGUUUGAUAUUUGAA